rnacentral:lncRNA from 1 species
CUCCGGGACCAUUGAUGAGGUAUUAUUCAAGAUUGUUUUUUAAAAAAUAGAAGUCAAUAUAGGCUACACGUCUUUCAGGAUGAGAACCUAAUUCCUACCUUUGAAUUUAUCUGUAUGCGAGGGUAAAGUCAAACUAAUGACCGCUGGGUUGGUGGCCAAAACUGGACUAAAAAGGACCGAUGCACUUUAAAAAUCAAACUCGAUGCCCACCAUCCACUCUUUACAAAUUUGUUCAAGAAUACCUUCAUGAGGGGACCCUCUUGCCAACGAUCACAGGUUAACAGUAACACGAUGCUUGACUGUAACAGAGUCCACUUCAAGAACUACCACCCUUCUCUUUUCCACGCUAGUUCAAGGCCAAGCUUGCAAAAGCCCUUUCUCGAUACACAUUCUUUUACUUGCGGUUAGCAGUUUUUAUUUACGAGGAGAGUGCGGGCUGCAUGUACAGAAAGUCAGAACGAAAAGGAAAUAAACUCGUCCUUAAGGCCAUUAACUGAAUGGGAACCGCAUCUAGUGGUCUUCGUAAGGGAGCAAGGGACCCCGUGCUUCUUAAUUUUGAAUGUUGAAGCAAACUCCUUAAACCAUGAACAUUCUCAGCACAGCGUGAUAAGUACUUGGUUAAAGAACAAUAUGGAUUAAGUGCGUAAAAAAUCCACUUAGACAGAAAUUCAAGAAUGGAGUUUCUCGGCCAUUCACCAUUCUUUCAGGUACAAAAUAUAAGCAAGGUCGGUAAAAUCUCUUUUAUUACACAUCACUUGUUUUUGCAAGUGACCAAAUCAAUGGUCAACAUUUGAUAUAUAUAUAAUAUCGGCAGAGAAUGCAGCCCCUCACUUGAUCCGACGGCAGAGAGUGAUACCAUCACCAACAGGAAGCAUGCAAAUUUCAAUCCUGGGGUCAGCUGCAAGUGCCUUAUUGAGCUCCAGAACAAAGUCCCUAUAGUACCUCACAUACUUCCUCAUCGGCGCAUCGGCUGGUGCCACCACAGAUCCAUUCCACAGGGUGUUGUC